rnacentral:rRNA from 1 species
UGAGGAAUAUUGGUCAAUGGGCGAGAGCCUGAACCAGCCAAGUAGCGUGCAGGAUGACGGCCCUAUGGGUUGUAAACUGCUUUUAUGUGGGGAUAAAGUGCGUGACGUGUCAUGCAUUGCAGGUACCACAUGAAUAAGGACCGGCUAAUUCCGUGCCAGCAGCCGCGGUAAUACGGAAGGUCCGGGCGUUAUCCGGAUUUAUUGGGUUUAAAGGGAGCGUAGGCUGUCUAUUAAGCGUGUUGUGAAAUUUACCGGCUCAACCGGUGGCUUGCAGCGCGAACUGGUCGACUUGAGUAUGCAGGAAGUAGGCGGAAUUCAUGGUGUAGCGGUGAAAUGCUUAGAUAUCAUGACGAACUCCGAUUGCGCAGGCAGCUUACUGUAGCAUAACGGACGCUGAUGCUCGAAAGUGCGGGUAUCAAACAGG